GCGAAUGUAGGCUUGCUGGAAUGGCGUGCCCACGCAGCUAGCAGGAUGAAGAGUAUCAACGUUCGCUGGUAAUAGAAAGAGAAAGGGAGAGAAGACAAAGGCAAAUCCAGGAGCAUGAGCUGAAAAGAGCAAAGGUUAAAAAUACCAGGAAGGAAAUAAUCAAUUCCAUACCAGAGCCUGAAAAUGGGAUGGCCUUUCAAUUUAAAUGUCCUGAUGGUGGCUUAAAAAGGAGAUGCUAC